rnacentral:rRNA from 1 species
UACGUAGGGUGCAGGCGUUAAUCGGAAUUACUGGGCGUAAAGCGUGCGUAGACGGCUAUCUAAGUCGGGUGUGAAAGCCCCGGGCUCAACCUGGGAAUUGCGAUGGAGACUGCAAGGCUAGAAUCUGGCAGAGGGGGGUAGAAUUCCACGUGUAGCAGUGAAAUGCGUAGAGAUGUGGAGGAACACCGAUGGCGAAGGCAGCCCCCUGGGUCAAGAUUGACGCUCAUGCACGAAAGGCGUGG